UUUAAGAUUUUAUAGGUGCUCUUAAAUAUGGCUGCGAUUAAAACUCACCAAUCAUUGAGGCAAGCGGAUCCAAAUCACAAAAUAUGUAUCUUCGGGCCCCAAUAUUGCAUGCCAGGACCAUUUCAGAUCAAUAUUGGAUCUGACCGUUACAAUAUCACUGAUGGUAAUGGAAAUACGUUAUUUCUUCAAGAACUUUCAUCGGAUACAGAGAAAUCAUGGAGAGCCACCUUCGAGCGGGAAAAAUCUGCAAUGCUUGAUGAAUAUGGGAACGAGCUUUGCAAAAUAAAGAGAUACUUGACGGGCUGGCGAUACAUAUGGCACAUGAAUUGUACUGCCACUGGUGAGGGUAUGAAUCAACGGAGGAUUACAAUGGCCUUCAGACAUUUUACCAGGAACAUGAAAUGCUACGUUCAUGUCACUGAUGAUUAUAACAGCAAUUCUAAGCCGGAAAUAAUGAUGAAAUGCUCUGUGACAUGUACACGAGAACGAACAAACAACGUAAAUAUAUACGAUGGCGAAACUAAUCAGCUGUUUGCUCGUAUGAGCGGUAAUAAGCACGGCUUGAUCCGCCUCUCAAUUGAGCCUGACAUUGACGUGGCCUUCAUGACAGCACUUGCUUUGAUGUGGGAUGUUGCUCUUAGGAAUUGGUGAUAAACGGACCCUGAUCUUCGUCAUUAAAUAAUGGUGAUGACUAAAAAUACCUCAACGAUGUGGAAUCGGGGGACUAUAAAUAAUUAGUACAAAAUGGA